rnacentral:rRNA from 1 species
AACGAACGCUGGCGGCAGGCUUAACACAUGCAAGUCGAGCGCCCCGCAAGGGGAGCGGCAGACGGGUGAGUAACGCGUGGGAAUCUACCCAUCUCUACGGAAUAACGCAUGGAAACGUGUGCUAAUACCGUAUACGUCCUUCGGGAGAAAGAUUUAUCGGAGAUGGAUGAGCCCGCGUUGGGUUAGCUAGUUGGUGGGGUAAAGGCCUACCAAGGCGACGAUCCAUAGCUGGUCUGAGAGGAUGAUCAGCCACACUGCAACUGAGACACGGCCCAGACUCCUACGGGAGGCUGCAGUGGGGAAUAUUGGACAAUGGGCGCAAGCCUGAUCCAGCCAUGCCGCGUGAGUGAUGAAGGCCCUAGGGUUGUAAAGCGCUUUCACCGGUGAAGAUAAUGACGGUAACCGGAGAAGAAGCCCCGGCUAACUUCGUGCCAGCCGCCGCCGUAAGAC